rnacentral:rRNA from 1 species
GAUCCUGGCUCAGGAUGAACGCUGACAGAAUGCUUAACACAUGCAAGUCUACUUGAUCCUUCGGGUGAUGGUGGCGGACGGGUGAGUAACGCGUAAAGAACUUGCCCUGCAGUCUGGGACAACAUUUGGAAACGAAUGCUAAUACCGGAUAUUAUGUGAGUUUCGCAUGAAAUUCAUAUGAAAGCUAUAUGCGCUGCAGGAGACCGCUUUGCGUCCUAUUAG